rnacentral:lncRNA from 1 species
AAAAUUGAGCUGGAAUGGAGUGUAUGCUAAUGGAGCACAAGGAAUGGACGAGUUUGAAGGUCAAAGGAGCUUGAGAAAUGAAGAAAUGAAAGUGAAGAACAAAGAAUUCAGAUUUGGAAACCAAAGUUUCUAAAGUUAGGAAGUUUCUAUUCUUGGAGGUUUCCAUUUUCGAGAGUUUCUAUUCUUGGCUUUGGGCUUUUAGAUGACCUAAACCCUAAUUCCUUGUGGAUCCUAACCCAAGCCGCACCUAGGCCUCUAGAAUAUCUGAUUUCCUUGCCUUGCAAGGCAUUCUAGAAGGCCCAUCUCUAA